AGUAUCUAAUUGCAUCCUCUCCUGUUUGCAAGUGAAGGAGAUACCUUUAGCUGCUGUUGAAGCUUGCGUCUACUUUUGAGUACAUGAUUCACCAUAUCAUUAUAUGUCCUGAAUGAUGGUCCAUUGAUCAUUUGUGCUCCCUCCUGUCUGGACAAGGCUUUGUACUCAUAACAGAAUGAAACUGUCAAAAGAAAGAGGGAGUGUGUCCUGAAGGCACUUUGUGGCUAUCUGAAUGAAGACCCAGACAUCCUCUUCAUGGAAUACCUGGAUUCCGAUCCUACUACCCAGGGGGAGGUUGAACAAAUUCUCCAUGGCAUCUACAGCAUCACUGUUGAGGGAGGUGAUGCCAUCACUCCUCCAGCUGAUGUGGGAAUCGUGAUCGAGGGUGUUGAAGUUCUACAUGACUUGGGAGACACUGCCACUGCAUGUGCACUGUUGAUGGGUGUAAUCUAUGCACUGAACCUCAGUUAUCCUCAAGAACUGAAAGCCUUCUUUGAAGUGCUUCAGAAGAUCUUUCUUCAACUGGAUGCUUCAAGACUCUCAACAAAAGUACAGAUGCUCAAAAACAAACUGUCUGAAUGAGCCAACCAUUGAUUUGCAUACUGAAUGUUAUGCGGAAUAGGCACAAUUCUAUUUUGGAUCAAAACUGAAUAAAGUGAAAAGUAGUCUUGUAGUAAAACUGAGUUCCAAGUUACAAGAAUUGAGAAGUGAAUUGAAAGGCCAGUGUUGACAGCAGCAAGUGUGGUGUUAGAUUUUUAGACUAUUAUGCUGUUUGAAUUUUUUUUUGAAAACACCAAGCCUGCCAUGUUAGACCAAAAUAUUGUCAAAAGGAUGUUUUUUGUUCUGUGUUGUAUGUGUUAUGCUGCAUAAAGGCAGUUUACAGAUGUCCAUGGACUAUCGUGUACCAUAAUGUUGCCAACUGAGUUUAUUUGGAUGGAUGCAACAAAUGGUUAUUUUCAUUAGUGAUUAAUCUGUCCAUUUUUUUCUAUUGGUUGUCACUUUGAGAAUCUGUGAUUGGCAUUUUUGACUUGAUACACCAAGGUGUAAAACCUUUUAUUUUGUCACAACCAACAGUCCACAACCCAAAGACAGGUGGUUUACUGUCAGAGGACUAAAUAAACCACAAAGUAUUUAAAGGGAUAGUUUGGGUUUUUUGAAGAGGGGUUGUAUGAAGUACUUGUACAUAGUCAGUGUAUACCUGCGUUAAAAAUGUCAUAAUGUUGUUUUUACAAAAAUACAAAAAUAU